rnacentral:rRNA from 1 species
AGCAGUAGCCGCGGUAAUUCGAAGGGGGCUAGCGUUGCUCGGAAUCACUGGGCGUAAAGGGUGCGUAGGCGGACUGAUAAGUCAGGGGUGAAAUCCCAAGGCUCAACCUUGGAACUGCCUUUGAUACUGUUUGUCUUGAGUUCGAGAGAGGUAAGUGGAACUGCGAGUGUAGAGGUGAAAUUCGUAGAUAUUCGCAAGAACACCAGUGGCGAAGGCGGCUUACUGGCUCGAAACUGACGCUGAGGCGCGAAAGCGUGGGGAGCAAACAGGAUUAGAUACCCCUGUAGUCCCUGUCUCUUAUAC